UACGUAGGGCGCAAGCGUUGUCCGGAUUUAUUGGGCGUAAAGAGCUCGUAGGCGGCUCGUCACGUCGGGUGUGAAAACCCGGGGCUCAACCCCGGGCCUGCAUCCGAUACGGGCGGGCUAGAGUGCGGUAGGGGAGACCGGAAUUCCUGGUGUAGCGGUGAAAUGCGCAGAUAUCAGGAGGAACACCGAUGGCGAAGGCAGGUCUCUGGGCCGUAACUGACGCUGAGGAGCGAAAGCGUGGGGAGCGAACAGG
rnacentral:rRNA from 1 species